rnacentral:rRNA from 1 species
UACGGAGGAUGCAAGCGUUAUCCGGAAUGAUUGGGCGUAAAGCGUCCGCAGGUGGCAAUGUAAGUCUGCUGUCAAAGCGUCUGGCUCAACCAGAUAAAGGCAGUGGAAACUACAUAGCUAGAGUAAGGUAGGGGCAGAGGGAAUUCCUGGUGUAGCGGUGAAAUGCGUAGAGAUCAGGAAGAACACCGGUGGCGAAGGCGCUCUGCUAGGCCGCAACUGACACUGAGGGACGAAAGCUAGGGGAGCGAAUGGG